GGGGGAUUAGCUCAGUUGGCAGAGCACCUGCUUUGCAAGCAGGGGGUCGUCGGUUCGAACCCGUCAUCCUCCACCA
rnacentral:tRNA from 1 species